GGCGUCAUAGCUCAGUUGGGAGAGCAGCAGACUGAAGCAAUGCGUUAUCCACGGCGUUCAUGUAAUCUGAAGGUCCCGUGUUCAAGCCACGGUGAUGCCA